GAUGAACGCUGGCGGCGUGCCUAAUACAUGCAAGUCGAGCGAACAGACGAGGAGCUUGCUCCUCUGACGUUAGCGGCGGACGGGUGAGUAACACGUGGAUAACCUACCUAUAAGACUGGGAUAACUUCGGGAAACCGGAGCUAAUACCGGAUAAUAUAUUGAACCGCAUGGUUCAAUAGUGAAAGACGGUUUUGCUGUCACUUAUAGAUGGAUCCGCGCCGCAUUAGCUAGUUGGUAAGGUAACGGCUUACCAAGGCAACGAUGCGUAGCCGACCUGAGAGGGUGAUCGGCCACACGGGAACUGAGACACGGUCAAGACUCCUACGGGAGGCAGCAGUAGGGAAUCUUCCGCAAUGGGCGAAAGCCUGACGGAGCAACGCCGCGUGAGUGAUGAAGGUCUUCGGAUCGUAAAACUCUGUUAUUAGGGAAGAACAAAUGUGUAAGUAACUAUGCACGGCUUGACGGUACCUAAUCAGAAAGCCACGGCUAACUACGUG
rnacentral:rRNA from 1 species